rnacentral:rRNA from 1 species
GCCUACAGCCAUGCCAGACGGAGUACACCCUAGCUCAUCUGAUCUUGGAAGCGUAGCAGUCGUGGGCAUGGCUAGCACUUGGACCAAAGAACACCUGGGAACGCUGUGUGCUUUCAGCA